AGCAAUCGACCCACCUCGGCUCCCAAAGUCCUGGGAUUACAGCUGAUAUAUAUGCAAAAGGCACUGAAGUAAUACAGACCAAGCUAUUCAUCAGAAGGCAGUGUCAAGACCGUAAUACAAGGCAAGGCCAAAGCCAAGAGAUCGUAAGUUGUUCCUACGUGGAUUUGUGCAAGAUUACCAUGGCGCCAUAGCAGAGCAGUUUCCCUACAGGCAGCAAAUGCGGCUAUACCCCUUGCAGGAGAAAAAGUUCUUCAGAGUAAUAAGAGGCUGGUGUCACAGAUUCAUGUAUUUGACUUCAGUCAAAUCAAAAAAGCACCGUCAAAACAUGUACAAUCUUCAGGAGCAGAGAAGAAAAUGCAAAAGUCAUUACUAGAGCAUCAUUUAAAAAACCACUGAAUUAUUAAAGCUCUUGAAUGUACAAAAUAUGAUACUGUGUAGAAAAUCAGUGAUAUAGACAAAUUACUUUCUUUUUUUU